AUUCAGUCCAGAAUCAGCCGAACCAAACGCUCCCUACUGAUGAAGCUAUGGAAUUAGCUGAAACUGACU
rnacentral:hammerhead_ribozyme from 15 species